GCGUAUAUUAAUGCUGCUGCGGUUAAAAAGCUCGUAGUUGGAUCUGGGUUGACGGCGGGCGGUCCGCACUGUUUACCGGUGUGAGAAUUCGCUGUACGCGUCGUUUUCUAGUUGAAAUUAUACUGGAACGGCGCUGCCGGCGUUGAGUUAGUUAGUAGGUGUAGUUGCUUAUGUGGCUUCUCGCUUACUUGCGCUCUACGUCGGUCGCCGCGACCACCUGCCGGACCGCGUUGUAUAUUCUUAAGUGAAUGUAUGAUGCGUUCGGCGCGUUUACUUUGAAAAAAUUAGAGUGCUCAAAGCAGGCGUAUAGAUGCCCAAAAGGCAGCCUGAAUAGUGGUGCAUGGAAUAAUGGAAUAGGACCUCGGUUCUAUUUUGUUGGUUUUCAGUAAUCGAGGUAAUGAUUAAGAGGGACAGACGGGGGCAUUCGUACUGUGUCGUUAGAGGUGAAAUUCUUGGAUCGACGCAAGACGAACUAAUGCGAAAGCAUUUGCCAAGAAUGUUUUCAUUAAUCACAGAACGAAAGUUAGAGGUUCGAAGGCGAUCAGAUACCGCCCUAGUUCUAACCAUAAACGAUGCCAACCAGCGAUCCGCCGCUGCUCUUUUUUAUAACGACUCGGCGGGCAGCUUCCGGGAAACCAAAGUUUUCGGGUUCCGGGGGAAGUAUGGUUGCAAAGCUGAAACUUAAAGGAAUUGACGGAAGGGCACCACCAGGAGUGGAGCCUGCGGCUUAAUUUGACUCAACACGGGGAAACUCACCCGGCCCGGACACAGUAAGGAUUGACAGAUUGAGAGCUCUUUCUUGAUUCGGUGGGU
rnacentral:rRNA from 1 species